UACGGAGGGUGCAAGCGUUAAUCGGAAUUACUGGGCGUAAAGCGUGCGUAGGCGGUUCGUUAAGUCUGUUGCGAAAGCCCCGGGCUCAACCUGGGAAUGGCAAUGGAUACUGGCGAGCUAGAGUGUGUCAGAGGAUGGUGGAAUUCCCGGUGUAGCGGUGAAAUGCGUAGAGAUCGGGAGGAACAUCAGUGGCGAAGGCGGCCAUCUGGGGACAACACUGACGCUGAGGCACGAAAGCGUGGGGAGCAAACAGG
rnacentral:rRNA from 1 species